GAUGAACGCUGGCGGCGUGCCUAAUACAUGCAAGUCGAGCGAAUGGAUUAAGAGCUUGCUCUUAUGAAGUUAGCGGCGGACGGGUGAGUAACACGUGGGUAACCUGCCCAUAAGACUGGGAUAACUCCGGGAAACCGGGGCUAAUACCGGACAACAUUUUGAACCGCAUGGUUCGAAAUUGAAAGGCGGCUUCGGCGGUCACUUAUGGAUGGACCCGGGUCGCAUUAGCUAGUUGGUGAGGUAACGGCUCACCAAGGCAACGAUGCGUAGCCGACCUGGGAGGGUGAUCGGCCACACUGGGACUGAGACACGGCCCAGACUCCUACGGGAGGCAGCAGUAGGGAAUCUUCCGCAAUGGACGAAAGUCUGACGGAGCAACGCCGCGUGAGUGAUGAAGGCUUUCGGGUCGUAAAACUCUGUUGUUAGGGAAGAACAAGUGCUAGUUGAAUAAGCUGGCACCUUGACGGUACCUAACCAGAAAGCCACGGCUAACUACGUGCCAGCCGCCGCUGUAA
rnacentral:rRNA from 1 species